ACUCGAGUUAGGGCAGUAGAGGAGUUCAUCUUUUUGGGCGUCCAUUUUUCAGGGAGUUCUUUCGACCUGCACUUCUUUGUGUUCAUAGAAAACUAGAGAAUAGAUCUUGGCAGAGCUGGGCACAAAUGACUAUGUCUCCUUGAAUUUUUUUCACUUCUUCUGGGAGACGAAGUUAGUCUUCUAUAAAUGGCACGUCAGGGAUUUGCCACUGCGAGACAAAGUUAGUCUUCUGUAAUUAGCACGUUAAGAAUUCGCCACAGUGGUGCUGGGCAAGGGUGCGACAAGGAUUGGUGGUAUUGACGUGGGUUGUACAAGGGUUUGUGGCAGUGGCACAAAGAGGAAACAUUAGUUUAGGCACAUCAGGGAUUGGUGGCAGCAGUGUGGGUUGGACAAGGGUUCGGUGGGAACAACACUAACACGAAAGGUCCCAUUUGUGAAAUUCUUCACCCUGUACAUGGUGCAAUGGCAUACACAUACACUUCUGGCAAUAGGAGGAGGUUGCUGCAUACUUUAGCAGAGUGCAACCAAGAGGUUGCACUAUUGCAUCUCCUGGAAAAUGACAUGAUCGAGACUAUUUUGGAGAGGAUGAUUCCUUGAUUGACCCUUAGGUGGUGUGUGUGUGUGGAUAGAAAUUAUGAAAGGGAUGCGACAUAUUUCAUCCACAUUGAUGAGGCCUUUUUUUCCUUCAUCUUGGGAGAGGCAACCAUAUAUAUAGGGUACUAUGGCCUAUAUAUUUGGCCUUUAUCUACUCGCCAAUCACUCUCCCAUGGGUUCACAUCAUGUGCACUACCACAUACCCAAGGAGGGGACGGGUCUGAGUGCCACAUCACAAUGAUGACAUCGACGAUGUCAAUCGCCUUUUUCCUUCCAAUCGUAUGGUUUUGGACUGUAGGCAUCUUUUCACGGGAUAUAACAAUGCUCACCCACCACUGAGGUUUGCUAGGAUUCAGAGUAGAUUUUCGUCACAGAGGAGGUAUUCUCCAUAAAAUUGUAUAACAGUAGCUAUAUGACUGAUUUUUAUCAAACAAUCGAAAUUUAUGUUUAUAGAGUUGAUCUUGGUA